UACGUAGGCAGCAAGCGUUGUUCGGAGUUACUGGGCGUAAAGGGCUCGUAGGCGGCCAACUAAGUCAGACGUGAAAUCCCUCGGCUUAACCGGGGAACUGCAUCUGAUACUGGAUGGCUUGAGAUUGGGAGAGGGAUGCGGAAUUCCAGGUGUAGCGGUGAAAUGCGUAGAUAUCUGGAGGAACACCGGUGGCGAAGGCGGCAUCCUGGACCAACACUGACGCUGAGGAGCGAAAGCCAGGGGAGCAAACGGG
rnacentral:rRNA from 1 species